UGCCAGCAGCCGCGGUAAUACGAAGGUGGCGAGCGUUGUUCGGAUUUACUGGGCAUAAAGGGCGUGUAGGCGGUCUAGUAAGCGGAAUGUGAAAGCCCGGGGCUCAACCCCGGAACUGCGUUCCGAACUGCUGGACUAGAGGACAGGAGGGGGAUCGGGAACUCUAGGUGGAGCGGUGAAAUGCGUAGAUAUCUAGAGGAACGCCGGUGGCGAAAGCGCGAUCCUGGCCUGUCCCUGACGCUGAGGCGCGAAAGCGUGGGUAGCAAACAGGAUUAGAUA
rnacentral:rRNA from 1 species